CCUGGGCCAGAAACCCAGAGCUGAGGCUUCUUAUCUACAGGGCGCGUGGCCACGUGGCACCUGGGCCAGAAACCCAGGGCUGAGGCUUAUUAUUUACGUGGUGCGUGGCUGCGUGGCACCCGAGCCAGAAACUGGGAACUGAGGCUUAUUAUCUAAAGGGAGAAUGGCCGUGUGGUGCCUGGGUCGGCUUUUCGGUCAAGGUGCCAUGGGCCUCAGCAAACAAAGCCAGAGCUCUCCUUCCUCCCUCUCCAGGAGUGGCUGGCACAAGACCCAUAUCUCAGCCUUUGCAGGCAAUGCUUUGGGCAUCCACAAAGAAUACGGCAAACACGGUGGAAUCCCAGGCACUGCCGGAGGCUUUCUGGGCCCCUCCACAGACUCACUUGCAAAUUCUUCCCUCAGUCCUAACAGCUCCUGGCAUUAGGGUUUGGCUAUGCCACUGCCUGUGAGUGACCCUGGACACCACCUUGUCCUCAGCCUGUGAGUGACCCUGGACACCGCCUUGUCCUCAGCCUGUGAGUGACCCUGGACACCGCCUUGUCCUCAGCCUGUGAGUGACCCUGGACACCGCCUUGUCCUCAGCCUGUGAGUGACCCUGGACACUGCCCUCGCCCCCGCCUGUGAGUGGCCCUGGACACUGCCCUCGCCCCCGCCUGUGAGUGACCCUGGACACUGCCCUCGCCCCCG
rnacentral:lncRNA from 1 species